rnacentral:tRNA from 1 species
GUUUCCGUAGUGUAGCGGUUAUCACGUCUGCUUCACACGCAGAAGACCCCCGGUUCGAUCCCGGGCGGGAACA